CACGUAGGGGACAAGCGUUGUCCGGAUUUAUUGGGCGUAAAGAGCUCGUAGGCGGUUUCGUAAGUCGGAUGUGAAAACUCCAGGCUCAACUUGGAGACGCCAUUCGAUACUGCGAUGACUUGAGUCCGGUAGGGGAGUGUGGAAUUCCCGGUGUAGUGGUGAUAUGCGUAGAUAUCGGGAGGAACACCUGUGGCGAAGGCGGCUUUCUGGGCCUUACCUGACGCUGAGACGCGGAAAGCGUGGGGAGCGAACAGG
rnacentral:rRNA from 1 species